rnacentral:rRNA from 1 species
UACGGAGGGUGCAAGCGUUAUCCGGAUUCACUGGGUUUAAAGGGCGCGUAGGUGGGCAAGUAAGUCAGUGGUGAAAUCUCCGGGCUUAACCCGGAAACUGCCAUUGAUACUAUUUGUCUUGAAUACUGUGGAGGUCAGCGGAAUAUGUCAUGUAGCGGUGAAAUGCUUAGAUAUGACAUAGAACACCAAUUGCGAAGGCAGCUGGCUGCACAAAUAUUGACACUGAGGCACGAAAGCGUGGGGAUCAAACAGG